rnacentral:rRNA from 1 species
UACGUAGGGCGCAAGCGUUGUCCGGAAUUAUUGGGCGUAAAGAGCUCGUAGGCGGUUUGUCGCGUCUGCUGUGAAAACCUGAGGCUCAACCUCGGGCUUGCAGUGGGUACGGGCAGACUAGAGUGCGGUAGGGGUGACUGGAAUUCCUGGUGUAGCGGUGGAAUGCGCAGAUAUCAGGAGGAACACCGAUGGCGAAGGCAGGUCACUGGGCCGCAACUGACGCUGAGGAAGCGGAAAGCAUGGGGAGCGAACAGG